rnacentral:lncRNA from 1 species
AUGGCUGUGACUGUAAGAAAAAUGGUAAAUUCCAAUCCUGAGAUUUAUCAGAAUAACAUUACUUAUACACAAGAUAGUCACACUAUAAUGAAAGAUCUAACACUCACGUCUUUAGAGCCUCAAAAAGAGAGGAAAAAGAAGGCAGGGCUGAAAAAGUACACAAGUAUUGUAAUAAUGGCUGAAAAGUUCCCAACUUUGGCAAACAAUACUCAUGCAAAGAUGGGCACAAUAAAGGGCAGAAAUGGUACGGAUCAAACAGAAGCAGAAGAUAUUAAGAAGAGGUGGCAAGAAUACACAGAAGAACUGUACAAAAAAGAUCUUCAUGACCCACAUAACCACGAUGGUGUGACCACUCACCUAGAGCCAGACAUCCUAGAAUGUGAAGUCAAGUGGGCCUUAGGAAGCAUCACUAUGAAUAAAGCUAAUGGAGGUAAUGGAAUUCCACUUGAGCUAUUUCAAAUUCUAAAAGAUGAUGCUGUGAAAAUGCUGCAAUCAAUAUGUCAACAAAUUUGGAAAACUCAGCAGUGGCCACAGCACUGGAAAAGGUCAGUUUUCAUUCCAAUCCCAAAGAAAGACAAUGCCAAAGAAUGCUCAAACUACUGCACAACUAUACUCAUCUCACACGCUAGUAAAGUAAUGCUCAGAAUUCUCCAAGCCAGGCUUCAGCAAUACAUGAACCAUGAACUUCCAGGUGUUCAAGCUGGUUUUAGAAAAGGCAGAGAACCAGAGAUCAAAUUGCCAACAUCCGCUGGAUCAUCGAAAAAGCAAGAGUUCCAGAAAAACAUCUAUUUCUGCUUUCUUGACUAUGCCAAAGCCUUUGACUGUGUGGAUCACAAUAAACUGUGGAAAAUUCUGAAAGAGAUGGGGAUACCAGAACACGUGACCUGUCUCUUGAGAAAUCUGCAUGCAGGUCAGGAAUCAACAGUUAGAACUGGGCAUGGAACAAUAGACUGGCUCCAAAUCAGGAAAGGAGUACGUCAAGGCUGUAUAUUGUCAUCCUGCUUAUUUAACUUAUAUGCAGAGUACAUCAUGAAAAACGCUGGGCUGGAGGAAGCACAAGCUGGAAUCAAGAUUUCUGGGAGAAAUAUCAAUAACCUCAGAUAUGCAGAUGAUACCACCCAUAUGGCAGAAAGUGAAGAACUAAAGAGCCUCUUGAUGAAAGUGAAAGAGGAGAGUGAAAAAGUUGGCUUAAAGCUCAACAUUCAGAAAACGAAAAUCUUGGCAUGCAGUCCCAUCACUUCAUGGCAAAUAGAUGGGGAAACAGUGGAAACAGUGGCAGACUUUGUUUUUCUGGGCUCUAAAAUCACUGCAGAUGAUUGUUUUAGCCAUGAAAUUAAAAGACGCUUGCUCCUUGGAAGAAAAGUUAUGAUCAACUUAGACAACAUAUUAAAAAGCAGAGACAUUACUUUGCCAACAAAGGUCUGUCUAGUCAAAGCUAUGGUUUUCCAGUAG